rnacentral:rRNA from 1 species
UACGGAGGGAGCUAGCGUUGUUCGGAAUUACUGGGCGUAAAGCGCACGUAGGCGGCUUUUCAAGUCAGGGGUGAAAUCCCGGGGCUCAACCUCGGAACUGCCCUUGAAACUGGAAGGCUAGAAUCCUGGAGAGGCGAGUGGAAUUCCGAGUGUAGAGGUGAAAUGCGUAGAGAUCUGGAGGAACACCAGUGGCGAAGGCGGCCCCCUGGUUCGAUACUGACGCUGAGGUGCG